GGGGCUUUAGCUCAGCUGGGAGAGCGCCUGCCUUGCACGCAGGAGGUCGACGGUUCGAUCCCGUUAAGCUCCACCA
rnacentral:tRNA from 2 species